UUUAUGUUAAAUCAUACCAUAAAAAAUAUUGUGAAAUUUCUUAAGAACGACAGCGGAGAACCAUUUGCCAAGCGCGCACUAGCUAUAUAGUCAUUUUCCUGAACGACGCGUGGGGUGAACAUCUAAAUCUAAGGGGGUGUUGGUCGGUCGGCGUCUUCGUUCUUCAACACCAAUAAACUAUCUGAGCCUCA